AGAAUCAACGCUGGCGGCGUGCCUAAUACAUGCAAGUCGAACGCGAAAGUCCCGCAAGGGGCAAGUAGAGUGGCAAACGGGUGAGUAACGCGUGGGCGACCUACCUUCGAGUGGGGGAUAACCUUCCGAAAGGAGGGCUAAUACCGCAUGACAUUCUAUGUUUAGAUACAUGGAAAUCAAAGCUGGGGAUCGCAAGACCUGGCGCUUGGAGAGGGGCCUGCGUCCGAUUAGCUAGUUGGUGGGGUAAUGGCCCACCAAGGCUUCGAUCGGUA
rnacentral:rRNA from 1 species